rnacentral:tRNA from 1 species
CAUGGUGUAAUUGGUAGCAUACCAGAUUUCAGAUCUGGAGGUGGUGGUUCGAAUCCAUCUG